rnacentral:misc_RNA from 1 species
ACGUAUCUACGAGUCCGGCGGUCGGCGUCGCCGCGCCCCGGCUCGAACCCCACAAACCCACCGUGCUCCUUUACGGCCCAGGGCGCCGCCGGCGAAAGCUGCGGUCCCGAAGCCGCAUUCAAAUAGACUCCAGUUCAAAAGAAUGCAAAGCAGACUAUGAUCUGCCCACAAAUUGAAA